AUGGCAAAUUUCUGAAUCUGUAGGCCAUGGAUUUUUUUUGGUACUAUUGUGCUUUAACUUGGUUGCCCUGUAUGCAUGGCUUAUUUCUGCAGCCAAUAGCAUUCUUUCGCUGAUUUGUUCACCCAUGCCCCUUCAUGUUUGGGUGCCAUAUGAAAUUUACCCGUGCUGAGAGUUCUGAUUCAGAGAUUUGGCUAAUUGCUGUAAUGGAAGCAAUAGUUUUCUAUUGCAGUACUCCAAUUAUAUAUAUUUCCUUGGGAUAGUACCCCUCCAUCAUUGUUGAGUGUAUUAUGAGUUUUGUUUGAUUUUAUUAUUUCCUUUGCAGGCAAGGAUCUUAGCCUUGAAUGGAUCAUAUUUCCUGAAGGCUGGAGGCUAUUUUGUCAUAUCAAUCAAGGCCAACUGCAUAGAUUCUACUGUUCCAGCGGAGGCAGUGUUUGCCCAGGAAGUGAAGAAGCUACAGGCAGAUCAGUUCAAGCCAGUUGAGCAGGUCACUCUUGAACCCUUUGAACGGGACCAUGCUUGCGUGGUUGGUGCUUACCGGGUGCCAAAGAAACAGAAAGCUGCUGCUGCUGCUCCUGCAUCGUAAACACAGCCUUUCCUUUUCCCAUCUUCCAUGAUGCACUAGGAGGAGCUGAUGGGGAUGGUAGAUUCAUAUAUGAACUGAACGGACCUGUACCGUAACUAUUUGAUUUAUCGUUUUGCUAAAUUGCUUGCUUUUUUUUGUCGAGACUUAAAUGGAUUGAUUUAGUUUU